CUAGUUAACUCUUUGAUGAUUGAUAUCUGUGUAAAUUAAAUUGUGUUUGAUAUGGUUUGAUACCCGUUAGGGUUUAAUGUGUUCUGUGUUUGAUACUUUACUUAUCUACUCUUUGCUUUAUUACUUAUAUUUGCUUGAUUCUUUUACCUAAAAGAUUUUGAAAUGUAUAUUGUUUAUUUUAGUCUUUCAUGUAAUCAAUGGCCAACUCAGUCGAUGAUUAAAGGUUGCAAUAUCUCUCUAACAAAAUGUAACGAGUAGUGGGAUUCUUUAUUGAGUGACGAAAAUGUUAUUUUGAAAUUUUAAGUGCAGAGGCUACAGUUCAAAUAUUUAAAAUCCCUCUUGGAAUCAGUUGAGCACGGAAUAUCUUCAGGCCAGAGAUCCUGACUAAUGCUUGCCAAAUUUUCCUGUUGAAGUACCUUUUUUGGAGCUCUAACUGCAGUUCGUCGACUGGAAUAUAUGCUAUAUACUCUCUAAGUUUA